rnacentral:rRNA from 1 species
AGAGUUUGAUCAUGGCUCAGGACGAACGCUGGCGGCGUGCCUAAUACAUGCAAGUCGAACGAACCGCGACUAGGUGCUUGCACUUGGUCAAGGUGAGUGGCGAACGGGUGAGUAACACGUGGGUAACCUACCUCAUAGUGGGGGAUAACAGUCGGAAACGACUGCUAAUACCGCAUAGGACAUAGGAUCACAUGAUCCAGUGAGGAAAGGUGGCGCAAGCUAUCGCUAAGAGAUGGACCCGCGGUGCAUUAGCUAGUUGGUAGGGUAAAGGCCUACCAAGGCGAUGAUGCAUAGCCGACCUGAGAGGGUGAUCGGCCACAUUGGGACUGAGACACGGCCCAAACUCCUACGGGAGGCAGCAGUAGGGAAUCUUCCGCAAUGGACGCAAGUCUGACGGAGCAACGCCGCGUGAGUGAAGAAGGUCUUCGGAUCGUAAAGCUCUGUUGUUAGAGAAGAACAGCGCAUAGAGUAACUGUUAUGCGUGUGACGGUAUCUAACCAGAAAGCCACGGCUAACUACGUGCCAGCAGCCGCGGUAAUACGUAGGUGGCGAGCGUUGUCCGGAUUUAUUGGGCGUAAAGGGAGUGUAGGCGGUCUUUUAAGUCUGAUGUGAAAGCCCACGGCUCAACCGUGGAGGGUCAUUGGAAACUGGGAGACUUGAGUGCAGAAGAGGAGAGCGGAAUUCCAUGUGUAGCGGUGAAAUGCGUAGAUAUAUGGAGGAACACCAGUGGCGAAGGCGGCUCUCUGGUCUGUAACUGACGCUGAGGCUCGAAAGCGUGGGGAGCAAACAGGAUUAGAUACCCCGGUAGUCCAA